rnacentral:rRNA from 1 species
AUUGAACGCUGGCGGCAGGCCUAACACAUGCAAGUCGAGCGGAUGAAGGGAGCUUGCUCCUGGAUUCAGCGGCGGACGGGUGAGUAAUGCCUAGGAAUCUGCCUGGUAGUGGGGGAUAAUGUCCGGAAACGGGCGCUAAUACCGCAUACGUCCUGAGGGAGAAAGUGGGGGAUCUUCGGACCUCACGCUAUCAGAUGAGCCUAGGUCGGAUUAGCUAGUUGGUGGGGUAAAGGCCUACCAAGGCGACGAUCCGUAACUGGACUGAGAGGAUGAUCAGUCACACUGGAACGGAGACACGGUCCAGACUCCUACGAGAGGCAGCAGUGGGGAAUAGUAGACGAUAGGCGAAAGCCUGAUCCAGCCAUGCCGCGUGUGUGAAGAAGGUCUUCGGAUUGUAAAGCACUUUAAGUUGGGAGGAAGGGCAGUAAGUUAAUACCUUGCUGUUUUGACGUUACCAACAGAAGAAGCACCGGCUAACUUCGUG